rnacentral:misc_RNA from 1 species
GAAAUGCGAUAAGUAGUGUGAAUUGCAGAAUUCAGUGAAUCAUCGAAUCUUUGAACGCACAUUGCGCCCCUUGGUAUUCCAUGGGACAUGCCUGUUCGAGCGUCAUUUGUACCAUCAAGCUCUGCUUGGUGUUGGGUGUUUGUCCCGUCUCCGCGCGUGGACUCGCCCCAAAGUGAUUGGCAGCCGGCGUACUGGUCCCGGAGCGCAGCACAUGUCGCGCAAACGAGUGCCUUGGUACGGCGGCGUCCAUAAGCCCCUCUCUCACGCUCUUGACCUCGGAUCAGGUAGGGAUACCCGCUGAACUUAAGC